rnacentral:rRNA from 1 species
GAUGAACGCUGGCGGCGUGCCUAAUACAUGCAAGUCGAGCGAACGGACGAGAAGCUUGCUUUUCUGAUGUUAGCGGCGGACGGGUGAGUAACACGUGGAUAACCUACCUAUAAGACUGGGAUAACUUCGGGAAACCGGAGCUAAUACCGGAUAAUAUUUUGAACCGCAUGGUUCAAAAGUGAAAGACGGUCUUGCUGUCACUUAUAGAUGGAUCCGCGCUGCAUUAGCUAGUUGGUAAGGUAACGGCUUACCAAGGCAACGAUGCAUAGCCGACCUGAGAGGGUGAUCGGCCACACUGGAACUGAGACACGGUCCAGACUCCUACGGGAGGCAGCAGUAGGGAAUCUUCCGCAAUGGGGGAAAGCCUGACGGAGCAACGCCGCGUGAGUGAUGAAGGUCUUCGGAUCGUAAAACUCUGUUAUUAGGGAAGAACAUAUGUGUAAGUAACUGUGCACAUCUUGACGGUACCUAAUCAGAAAGCCACGGCUAGCUACGUG